GUCGCUCUGGUGUCUCUAUCAAAGUCACAACAGACACGUCAUAAACUGUAACUUCCCUGUUGAAGACCGACUCACAGACUCCUGCUGCUGCGUUUAACAGUGAAGAAAAUGAGAGUUCAGGUUGUGCUCCUGCUCUUUGCUCUGGUGGUUGCGCUUCAAGCGAUGCCAACUGCUCCCCAUAGGGACCGUGAAGUUAUUCCAGAUUACAUUUUUGAGAGAAGGGAGGCUGAUCCAACCAACUCAAAGACAAAUGACAACAAUAACAACAACAAUAACAACAAAGGCUCCAAGACAUAAAAGGACAAGAUGUCCAUCAGUGACGAUGAAGGGAAAUGGCUUUGAUAACGGACCCAUAACUUUAACCCCAAACUGUUUCAGCCAAAAGAUGUCACAAAUAAAUAAAUAAAAUAAUUACAUAUA